UACGUAGGAGGCAAGCGUUGUCCGGAGUUACUGGGCGUAAAGCGCACGCAGGCGGUCUUGUCAGUCUGUAGGGACAGGGCACAGCUCAACUGUGUCAGGCUUAUGGAAACUGCAAGACUUGAGGGCUUCAGAGGGAUGGGGAAUUCCGAGUGUAGAGGUGAAAUUCGUAGAUAUUCGGAAGAACACCAGUGGCGAAGGCGGCUCACUGGACUGGUAUUGACGCUGAGGUGCGAAAGCGUGGGGAGCAAACAGG
rnacentral:rRNA from 1 species